rnacentral:rRNA from 1 species
AUUGAACGCUGGCGGCAGGCCUAACACAUGCAAGUCGAGCGGAUGAAGGGAGCUUGCUCCUGGAUUCAGCGGCGGACGGGUGAGUAAUGCCUAGGAAUCUGCCUGGUAGUGGGGGAUAACGUCCGGAAACGGGCGCUAAUACCGCAUACGUCCUGAUGGAGAAAGUGGGGGAUCUUCGGACCUCACGCUAUCAGAUGAGCCUAGGUGGGAUUAGCUAGUUGGUGGGGUAAAGGCCUACCAAGGCGACGAUCAGUAACUGGUCUGAGAGGAUGAUAAGUCACACUGGAACUGAGAGACGGUCCAGAAUCCUACGGGAGGCAGCAGUGGGGAAUAUUGGACGAUGGGCGAAAGCCUGAUCCAGCCAUGCCGAGUGUGUGAAGAAGGUCUUCGGAUUGUAAAGCGCUUUAAGUUGGGAGGAAGGGCAGUAAGUUAAUACCGUGCUGUUUUGACGUUACCAACAGAAUAAGCACCGGCUAACUUCGUG